rnacentral:rRNA from 1 species
UUCGCAAUGCCCGAAAGGGUGACGAUGCGACGCCGCGUGAGCGAAGAAGGCCCUAGGGUUGUAAAGCUCUGUCGAGGGUUAUGAAAUAUAGAUGGGUUAAUACCCCAUUUAUUUGACAAAAGCCCAAAAGGAAGCCACGGCUAACUCUGUGCCAGCAGCCGCGGUAAUACAGAGGUGGCAAGCGUUGUUCGGUAUUAUUGGGCGUAAAGAGCACGUAGGUGGUUUUGUAAGUCAGAUGUGAAAGCCUUCUGUUCAAAGGAAGAACGGCAUCUGAAACUACAGAUCUUGAGUGUAGGAGGGGAGAGUGGAACUUCUGGUGGAGCGGUGAAAUGCGUAGAUAUCAGAAGGAACGUCGGCGGCGAAAGCGACUCUCUGGCCUAUUACUGACACUGAGUGUGCGAAAGUUAGGGGAGCAAACGGGAUUAGAUACCCCGGUAGUCCUAACUGUAAACGAUGGGCACUAAGUAGAGGGGUUUU